rnacentral:tRNA from 1 species
GAACGUAUGGCUUAGCGGUAGCGCUUUAACGAUUCCCAAGAGGUGCGAGUUCAAAUCCCGCUAAGUUCA